UCCUACGGGAGGCAGCAGUGGGGAAUAUUGGACAAUGGGCGAAUGCCUGAUCCAGCCAUGCCGCGUGUGUGAAGAAGGUCUUCGGAUUGUAAAGCACUUUAAGUUGGGAGGAAGGGCAGAUUCGUAAUACGUGAUUGAUUUGACGUUACCGACAGAAUAAGCACCGGCUAACUCAGUGGCAGCAGCCGCGGUAAUACAGAGGGUGCAAGCGUUAAUCAGAAUUACUGGGCGUAAACCGCGCGUAGGUGGUUAGUUAAGUUGGAUGUGAAAUCCCCGGGCUCAACCUGGGAACUGCAAUCAAAACUGACUGACUAGAGUAUGGUAGAGGGUGGUGGAAUUACCAGUGUAGCGGUGAAAUGCGUAGAUAUAGGUAGGAACACCAGUGGCGAAGGCGACCACCUGGACUGAUACUGACACUGAGCUGCGAAAGCGUGGGGAGCAAACAGGAUUAGAUACCCAGGUAGUCCACGCCGUUAACGAUCACAACUAGCCGUUGGGAGCCUUGAGCUCUUAGUGGCGCAGCUAACGCAUUAAGUUGACCGCGUGGGGAGUACGGCCGCAAGGUUAAAUCUCAAAUGAAUUGACGGGGGCCCGCACAAGCGGUGGUGCAUGUGGUUUAAUUCGAAGCAACGCGAAGAACCUUACCAGGCCUUGACAUCCAAUGAACUUUCUAGAGAUAGAUUGGUGCCUUCGGGAACAUUGAGACAGGUGCUGCAAGGCU
rnacentral:rRNA from 1 species